CCCCCUUGGGGGGCUGCCUACACAUGCAAGUCGAACGCCCUCUUCGGAGGGAGUGGCGCACGGGUGCGUAACGCGUGGGAACCUGCCCUUAGGUUCGGAAUAACUCAGAGAAAUUUGAGCUAAUACCGGAUAAUGUCUUCGGACCAAAGAUUUAUCGCCUUUGGAUGGGCCCGCGUUGGAUUAGAUAGUUGGUGGGGUAAUGGCCUACCAAGUCGACGAUCCAUAGCUGGUCUGAGAGGAUGAUCAGCCACACUGGGACUGAGACACGGCCCAGACUCCUACGGGAGGCAGCAGUGGGGAAUAUUGGACAAUGGGGGAAACCCUGAUCCAGCAAUGCCGCGUGAGUGAUGAAGGCCUUAGGGUUGUAAAGCUCUUUUACCAGGGAUGAUAAUGACAGUACCUGGAGAAUAAGCUCCGGCUAACUCCGUGCCAGCAGCCGCGGUAAU
rnacentral:rRNA from 1 species